AUCUAUUAUUUAACAAACAAAUCUAUGUAAAACUGCAAAACCAGCAUAUUUUGUUGUUUAAUUAAUUGUUUUUAUGUUAUGCAGCUGCAGCCAGCAACAGGUUAGUUUAAUGUAACCAAUUAAAGCUACAAUAUACAAAAAUUUGGAAACAAACAAACAAAAAACUCCCGCAGAAUUUACAAAUAUAGACUGAAGUCUUUUUCUGUUGCAAGCUUCAAACCCUCAAAAUCAACAUUAAGUUGUGGCUUCACCCUGGAAAGAAACCCCAAAAUCCCAAAUGAACAACUUAAUCUAACUCACUGCACCUCCACAUUCUGUUCUUGGGCUUUAUUGCUGUUUAUACCAUCUUAUCUGAUAAAAAGAACUCCUGUAAUUGGCAUCAUGAGCUAUAUUUUCUAAAGCCUGAAAAUGAGAAAAGUCUAGUUUCCACUUGAAUUACAACACCCUGAAAUGUUAGUAUGGAAUUUUUGGAAUUUAUGCCAAAAUGAUACUGCCUACCCCAGCUUUAAUGUUUAAUGAAGCAGAAUUUAGUGGAUUUUAAUGAUUUAGAUGAAGAGGUGGAUGGAUGAAAAAAAAGGACUCAAAAGGGCAGCAAAGUUGUCAAGUCUAAUAUUAAACAUUUCAGUUUUUAUACACAUGAAAAAAUAAGAUGCAACAUUAGUGAACAUUAGAGAUGCUAAGAGGCAGAUUUUGCUACAAUUAGAGGUUGUUUUUUUUUUCAUUUCUGGUCUUCACUCUUAAUAGUGAGAUGCUAGAGAUAGCUUCAUAUUUAUGGAAGCAGAAUUUAGCCACUGAAAGUGGAUUUUAACGAUUUUCGAUGAGAUGGGCAGAAAAGAGAUGGAUGUAUGAAAGAAAAGGAGUCAAAAGGGCAGCAAAGUAGGAAGGAACAAUGGGGAGGAAAGAAGAAAGGUUUAGAAAGAUCAAAAAGUUUUAGUUCCUGAGUUUCUGAGCACUUUGUGGGUAAAAACUACAAUAUCUACAGUAUGUGAACGUUCCCUCUCCUCGACCUUUUUCACAGAAUAUACAGUUUCUGUGCAGCGGCUCUGAGUGCUGUCCUGUCCUGACCCCUAGCUUGCGUUAAUCGCUCUUCUCCCUGGAAGCACCAGCCCAGAUAAUUACUCUGAGAAACCCAGAUCAAAUGCGAGCCCUUUCGAACAAACAAGCUUUCCCAUGCACCCAAGCGGGGAGCACACACAUCCCUCCGGACCUCCUCGUUCCCUCCCAUCAGCCCAUCCGUCAGACCUCCGCCAAACAAGCCGUGCUCUCAGACAAGUAGCCUCAGAGCUUCCAGCUUCCUUCCUUUUCCUCCCAUCUCUCCGUAAUGAGCGUGAUUAUCAAUCCAAACAAUAGUUACAAUAAUUGCGGCAUUAAAGGGUAGCCAUCUCCCAGGCACUUCCCGUCUGGGGAUGACUGACAUGCGAGCGGCUUCCUGCUUCCUCUCCGAGUGAGUGGGAGUACAGGAAAGGGCGGGGCCUUCCAUAACUAAUCGCUCCGGCCGCUACGAGGUAAUGGGCUAACGAGGUUUAGUAAUGUACCAUGACAUAAUGACGUUAUGUCAUUUUCUAAUUAUGGAGUGUGAAAUUUAUAGAGGUUUGAUGGGCUGGAUACAGGGGAGGGCAGCAGAGUGAGGCCUUAUCAGCUGCUCUCAAGGAGUCUGGUGGAUGCUCUCUCUUCUAAUUCAGCCUGAAUGCAGCUAUAAUGUUUCAGCUGUAAAAGCACAUCGUCUUUAUCUUGGUCUCACGAUCAAAAAUGUGGAAUUCAUAUUGAUAGACGCUUGUGGAAAGUCUGCAGUGGAGUGUAUUUUCGUCAAAAUGAUGGUUCUUCAGAAAGCUUUCUUGUCUUUCAAAGUGCCAGUUGAAGGACCUCUUCAUUUAGAGGAUAUGUGGCUCUUUAAAGCACUAAAAAUUCUUCAUUUUUAUUGAAGUGAUUUGAUUUGCUGGCAGCUACCAGCAUGAAAUUAGAGCUGUGACUAACCAUUAUAUUCAUAAUUGAUUAAUCAUAAUGUCUAUAAAACAUGAGAAAACUUUGAGAAAGGACUAUUAGAGUUCCUCAAAUCACAAAUUGGCAUCUUAUAACAUGUUGUUCUGUCUGACCAACAGUAAAAACACUCAAAAUAUUAAUUGUGUUCUAAUGGAAGAAACCAAGAAAUCCUGCAGAUUCUGACAUUUGACCUUUUUGCUUAAAGAUUACUGAAAUGAUUUUUAAGUCCUGUAAUCUUAAUAGAACCAAAUAAAGGACCACAAAUACUGGAACGAAAAAUAUAUAUUUUUGCAGUGAUGCCAUAGAAGAAUCAUUUUUAGUUCCACAAAGAACAUUUUAGCAAGAAGCUUUAGAGAACAAUGGUGCUUCAAAAAACAUUUAAAAAUGCUUUUUGUAGUCACCAUGAAUGGUGCUUCAGAGAUUUUUAUUUUCUCACAAAAAUAGGUGCUUUAAGGAACCAUUUUCCAGAUAGUUCUCAGCUGGUUGUAUUUUGAUAACAAGACUUCAUGAUGGUUUAAGAAAAUUUCAAGCUAAAAAAAGUAAAAUGUAACAACUUGCAGCAUUUCUGGAUCCCUUCCACUAGGACAAAUUCAUUAUUUUGGGUUCUAGACGCCAGCUUGGGAUUUGAACUGUGAUGGAUAUUUCCUCAUUGUUUUCUCAUGUUUUAAAGAUGAAAUGAAUAAUUGACAAUAUAAAUAAUCACUAGUUCCUGCUCUCAUUUCAUGUUAUCACCUGCCAAUACCAAUGAACAACCAUAGUGCUUUAAAAACUACAUCAAGUAUGUGAAGGACCAUCUCCUAAAUAAAGAGGUCCCUCUAUUAGUGAUGACACCUUGAAUACCUGGAGAUACUUGUGAAGAACCUUUGACGAACCACCAUAGAACUAUUUAAAAAACUGGCCCCUAAAAAAUCUAUUUGCUAAAGUUCUUUGGAGCACCUUUUAAUGGGUGAAAAUAAACCCAGUUAUGGUGGUUCUUUGAGGCACCUUCGGGGUUUCAUUGGAUUUCUUAAGUGAACUCUGGCUAACAGGUUCUUUGUGGAACUAAAAAUGGCUCCUCUAUGGCAUCACUGCAAAAUAAAAUCAUUUUUGGCCCCAUGUAGCAUCUUUGUACUGGUUACUGGUUCAAUUUUGCUAAUAGGAGCUGAGAAAGAAAGUCAAAUGUGAGAAUCUGCAGCAUUUCCAGGAGAAUACAUUGAAUAUUUUAGGUUCUUGAUCAGACAAAACAACAUCUUACAAGAUGCAUACUUGGAUUUUGGAAACUAUGAUGAAAUUUUUAACAGUUUUCUGAAGAAAUGCUUCGUUAAAGAAACUCGCUUAAAGGUUCUCAAAAUGGUUCAUCUAUGACGUCACUACGAAGAACCUUUUCUGGUUUAUGUUAACGUCUUAAUUUUUCUGACUGCAACUGGUUCCAUUUUGAUGACAGGACUUCAUUUUUAGACAGAAAAAGUCAAUGUUAAUGAUCCUUUGCAGCAUUUCUGGGUCCCCUGCAGUAUAAUGCAUUGAAUAUUUUGGGUUUUUGAUCAGACAGAACAACAUGUUACAAGAUGCCAACUUGGAUUUGGGGAACUUUGGACAUUUCUGAUUGUUUUCUGAAGAAGUGCUUCAUUAAAAAUUUGUUAAAAAGUUCUGAAAAUGAACCAAUUUUGGUUCCAGUCAGCACCUUUAUUCCUGUUGAAGAGCGUGGAAGUCAGAGCGUCACUAUGGAAAGAUCUUUUUAUUGUCCAACCAGUUUCCCCAUCUUUAACCACCUGCACGCCCGCAAACCGGCUGCAGCUAGCUUGGCUCAUCAUCAACUAUUAUUACCCUGAGAACCAAAACAAAGCAGCAGCUCGCCACCAUGCACACGGAGGCUUUCUCACACUUUCUGACAUGUUUACAAUCCAAACAGAGGCAGGCAGGAGCUGCUGAGAAACAGCCUCAUCAGCAGGACGCCCUCAUCGCCCAGCUGUCACACUCAUGCUGAUGUGCAAGUGUGUUUUCCAUAUUUUCAUUUUUCAGCGUGGCCGAGGUUAAAGACAGAUUAUGCACAAACAUGCGUACCCUGCAGGUCUGUCAUCGCCUGUUGUUGAGGUCAUUGCAUGUCACACACCAGUCCAAACUCUGCUCUGCUGUCAUGAUGUCAUGGUGAGAGUAUGGAGACAUCAGCAUCAAGGAAGUGGUCGGAGAGUCGUUCGCUUUGAAAAGAAUAAGGAUCUAAGUGCAGGAACUACACACAAGAAACAACAAGACAAUGAAGGUAUCUGCUUACAGAAGGGAUAGUGCAUGUGCUCGGGUUUUUGUUAAGGCCCCCAACUGUUGCAGAAUCUGCAGCUGUUUGCACUUUGCUCGGCGAGACUGACAGGUACACAGCGACACAAGCCAAAAUACGCAGCGCGGUUGGCACUGCCGCUGGAGGAGCCUUGUUUGAUCACCUAAUCCCCUAAUUAGUUGGUUGUGAUAGUUGUCUGGGGAUGCUUGAUUGCAAUCACAAUAGUGGACCUGCUGUGCUGUCACCGCAUAGCAGGGUGGUGAUGCAAGCAGAAAAUGGCCCACCACGUGAGCUCUGGGAAGACAAUUCUGGCUUUGGGUUGCCUGUUCUCCGCCCCUUGUCCUCCCUUUUCAGACACACUUUGAGGGGACAGUGGCGUUUGAAGCAGCCGAGUGUGUUUUUCAGAGUGUCACGAACCCAUAAAGGCCUCCUGGUGAUACUCAGCAACAAUAAACUUGAGCAAAAAUGUGUGAAAUGGAAUAUUUUUUUCUGUCUCGUGUGCCACAUCUGUUUGUGUGGGUUGUCGGUAAAAGUGGAGCAGUGUGUGAGAGUGUACUGUAUGGGUGUGUUUAAGCGUGCAUGGGUAAGGAGUGGGAGGCUGUAAAUAUGCGUGGGGGAGAAUAUCAACCUCUCAACCACACCUAUUUUUAGCUAUGUCGGCUUAAACCGAAAAAUGACUUGCCUUGCAAAAAAAAAAAAAAAACGAGGAGUGAAUGUACCACUCCCAGGGUAACAAACUGCACACAAUUUCACCAUAACAAACAGCCCACAACGACAUUAGCUCCUACAGAGAUACCAGGCAGGAAAGAAUGAAUGCAUUAAUAAAAGGGGAUGUGGUUUAUUGUCUAGGAGCGAAAAUAGAGCGGUAACACGCUAAGCUAUCCCAGGUUGAGACUCACACGGAGGUUAAUGUGACGGCAGAUGAAGGUUCUACUUUCACAGGUACUUAUUAUGCCACAAUUUCCCAACAUUUUCUCCCUCCCCCGAGUUGCCGAUUUUCACUCGGUAACCUUCACCCACUCCUAGCCUUCAUGUCUUCUUCUCAGUACAGUAGCAGAGACGGUGAGCCACUUCAAGGAGAGUGAAAGCGGCUUUUUUUCUUUUUUUUUUUUUACAAAAAAGAAGAAAAAAGAAAGAAACGCUGCCUCCCUUCAACCUCUCCAACGCCCCCUUAGUGUCAAACCAAACCUCCCUCUCUCUCAUUCCUUCACAGGAAGUUGUGGUCGAGGAGAUGUCGUCAAAACUACUACAAGUCAAUCAUAUUUUUGUCGAACCUGUGCAGUAAAGAUCAGUUCAUACGUGGGGGGAGAUCCAUAACAGCUGCUGUGAAACUCUUCUAGAAUUUACACACAGAAAGUGUUUUAAAUUUACUGUGUUUUCAGUCCAGCUCAACUUGUUCUUAGUUGUUCUGAUCAGCCACUUCAAGAGGAAUUUAACUGAAAACAUGACCUGCAAACCAAUAACCCUUUGACCUGUGAUCAUCCAGUGUAGCCAUGACUUAGUCUUGCAAAAAUACAGAAUUUUUCUGCUUUCUAAUGCCAUAAAUCUUCUCUCAGAUUCAACUUACAACCCUUUAUGGGGUCAAAACCACGAGGAUCGCUGCCCAACACUGUUUUAGCCACUAAAAUGAUAAAUCCCUUUAUGCAAUUCAGAGACAUCAGCAUGGUAAGAAUCUUAAUGUUUUGCUUUAUUUGCCAUUUUUAUUUCUUCAUGUUUCCCAUGUAUUACAAUAUAUUUUGCAUUCCUAGUAUUUGCAUUGUUAAAUACAUUUUAUAUGGCUUUUGGCAGCAUAAAGGAAUAGUGUCACUGUCACAGCCAGAGGCUGUGAUUAAGUGGCAGUGCUCUCUCCUCCUCUGGCCUGUUGUUUCUCUCUCUCUCUAGGUGUGUGGCAGUGGUGGGCAGCAGGUGUGGCUGAUUUCCAAUCAGCUGAUCGGGUGCAGGUGGGAGUUGCUCAUCAGGCUGGCUGGGCUCACUAUAAAGAGUGCCUCGUCUGGUCAGUUGGUGCCAGACCGUCCCCUAACUCACAUAUUGACUCCUGCCUGUUUCUGUUACUGUCUCUUCUGGUUGGAAGGCCACCUGGCAGAGGUUUCCAGAUGCUACAAGGACCGGGGCUUUCUCCAAGAAGUCUUGCUAAGCUAAGGAGGACUCUGGCUGCUGCCACAGCUUGGACAGGAAUCCUGGGUUCUAACCCCAUACCAGAGAGAGAGAGACUGUUCAGUAAGGUUCUCGUUCCAAGCAGCAUCAGACAAUAGAGCAUUGUUGUUUUGUUUAAUUGGUGUUCCUGCUAGUGUAGUGGGAUUCUGGAAUAGAGUUUAGGUAUUUUGUGUGGAGAGUAGUAGUUUGUUUUGUAGUUUACCUGCUUGGAGGAGUUAAACGUGGGUUACUGUUCUGUGUAUAGUGUUUACGCCCUCCUCCAAAAAGUAUUGUUUUGUUAUGCUAACUGCGUAUUGUUGGUGACUUCUGUUUCUGGUUUAGAGUUCCAAUUGCAGUUUUUGGUUUUGCCUUUGUGCAAAAUAAAUCUUGCUUCAUUUAAGUCACUUGUCUGCUGUCUCAUUUCCCUGCUCUUGGGCCUCUGCACCCGCCGUAACAAAUAGUUUGCAUGCAAGAGUAGAGGUAUUUUGUCAAACAGACUUAUUUGCUUUCUAGGUGAGAGUCAGAUGACAAGAUUGAUUCUACUGUUAUAUCUGUCUGAUAAAUACUGGAAACUGGAAAGACUGGAAACAGAGGCUCUGUGCAAAAGGAGCAAAAUCUGCAGAGGAAUCUCUAAGAAGUUACUGCAAGUUGACAAAGAGUUGUUGCAGAUACACCUUGAUUUGUGUCGGAUAAACUUUGAGUUGUUACAGAUAAACCUCAGAUUGUUGAAGAUAAACCCUGAUU